GAUGAAGAACGUAGCAAAAUGCGAUAAGUAAUGUGAAUUGCAGAAUUCAGUGAAUCAUCGAAUCUUUGAACGCACAUUGCGCCCGCCAGUAUUCUGGCGGGCAUGCCUGUUCAAGCGUCAUUUCAACCCUCAAGCACAGCUUGGUGUUGGGACUCGCGUUAAUUCGCGUUCCCCAAAUUGAUUGGCGGUCACGUCGAGCUUCCAUAGCGUAGUAGUAAAACCCUCGUUACUGGUAAUCGUCGCGGCCACGCCGUUAAACCCCAACUUCUGAAUGUUGACCUCGGAUCAGGUAGGAAUACCCGCUGAACUUAAGCAUAUCAAUAAGCGGAGGA
rnacentral:misc_RNA from 1 species